rnacentral:lncRNA from 1 species
UGAGGAGAUCUUGGAUAUUUAUACAGGAUCAAGAAAUCUAAAUAAUAUCUUCUAGUUGCCUUUUUGGAUGAGAUGCUGGGUUGUAAUAAAUAGAAUUAGAGCCGACCGGCUUACAACCUAUGUGCACUAGGAGACAUUGCAACAUGGAUAUAUUGGGGCUGAUCAUCAUUGUGCUUGUGAUUAGAUUUGAAUAGAUUUGAAUCUUCAGCCUAACGGGACGUUAGGGCUUAAACAGAAAGAGUAUGUGAGGAUCUGUGCGGGCGUGUGUUUAGUCCCAUAUUAGUUAUUCAUCGAGAAGAUCUUGGGUACUUAUACAGGAUCAAGCAACUCAA